rnacentral:rRNA from 1 species
AUUGAACGCUGGCGGCAGGCUUAACACAUGCAAGUCGAGCGAGCGGCGGACGUGUGAGUAAUGUCUGGGAAACUGCCUGAUGGAGGGGGAUAACUACUGGAAACGGUAGCUAAUACCGCAUACCAUCAGAUGUGCCCAGAUGGGAUUAGCUAGUAGGGUGGGUAAAGGCUCACCUAGGCGACGAUCCCUAGCUGGUCUGAGAGGAUGAGCAGCCACACUGGAACUGAGACACGGUCCAGAUUCCUACGGGAGGCAGCAGUGGGGAAUAUUGCACAAUGGGCGCAAGCCUGAUGCAGCCAUGCCGCGUGUGUGAAGAAGGCCUUCGGGUUGUAAAGCACUUUCAGCGAGGAGGCGUUACUCGCAGAAGAAGCACCGGCUAACUCCGUGCCAGCAGCCGCGGUAAUAC